GCAGGCGCUCGCAUCUAAUCAGGGAUCUGAGCCCCGUGAGCCGCACCCGGGGGUUCGGAGGCUCCUCCAGUCUUCAGCCCACUCUGCUCUCUGAGGGGAGAGGGCAAGAGGGGACAAAAGGGGCCAAGCAUCUCCGGAGGCUCCAGAUUGGAUGCCGCUUCUUUGGGGAUUGGCAUGGCAGUCACAGCGGCUUCAGGGGAGGGCACUGCGAGCUCUGCGUGACACCAGCCUGAGUCAGGGCAGGAACAGCCAGGACACGAGAGCACAAACUGUGAGAUGACAGCCAGACCCUGUGCACCUCUGCUUCUCUACAGGCAACACAAUAUUCACCAUUGCUUUAUGUCCAUCAUCUUGUUUGGAGCCAGUGUGUAAAUGCCAGAGAUGCCACAGACACUUUUCUCCAGUUUCAUUUCCCUUCUCAACACGGGCUGUUGUGCACAGGGUGCCAAGGCUUGCAGUGAUGCUGAGCAUCCUCUGCAUCAUGGCUUCAGACACACCAGGGACAACUAGCUAGAAACUUGGGGCACUAGUUGUCUUAUCCAGAGCCCACAAAGUUCCCCCAAAAGAAAUCCAUGACCUGCUGGCUUUACCAGCCCGUGUCUCCUCCCUGCAGCAAGCAGCAGCCUAAGGAGCCGUCAUCAGCAAAGAUUUAUGGCCAGGAUAUGCUGUUGCACCAGAAGCCGUACGGCACCGUGUGGAGACUGUCUGACUGUCGUCUCAGAAAGGUCAGAGCAUGGUCAGCCAGAAAGACGUGAAAGGGGCAAGACUGCUUUGCCCAAAUCUCUACCAGCUGGGGCAGCUCACCCAAAAUACCAAGCUCCAACUGCAGCUGGCACAGAGAGACUCCAGGUGUGACUGAAGUGCUGAAACCAGGGAUCAACUGCAGUCCUGCAAAUGCAGUCAAUGGAAUUCCUGUUGCAAAGGGAACCUGUGAGAUCCCUGAAAUCUUUCCUGGGGUGCCUCAGAACAGGGACUGUGCCAGCACAGAGCCACAUGUCACCAGCACAGUUUGGGACUGGAGCAUCCCACACCUGCCAUGCUCAGAAAUUCUAUACCGUGGAGGAGCAUCCUCAGGAAAGCUGUGAUCUGGAUGCACCACACAGUCUCCUUCUUCAGCAACUACCAGCAUUGGAGUUCCACUGCAUUUAUUUCUAGACAACUGACAACUAUUCCAGGGUAGCAGGAGCAAGAGCUCAGCUGUAAUUUGGGGUUGCAUUGUGCAAAGUGCUGUACAGGCACAGAAAAGAAGACCUCUGAC